GAUUUCUGGUAUGAUGUAUCUGUCCCGCCACGGUUAACGUGUGUGUGUGACGGUCAUAUAUCUGCCAUCCUUCUAGUGAAUGCAAUAUUGGCCUUUACUGUGUUGAUAUUGUACACAACUAGAUCUUUUACUUUGAAAAAAUUAGAGUGUUUCAAGCAGGCGUUUAUUGCUAUGAAUACAUUAGCAUGGAAUAAUAAUUUAGGACUUCGGUUCUAUUUUGUUGGUUUCUAGAGCUGAAGUAAUGAUUGAUAGGGAUAGUUGGGGGUGCUAGUAUUCAGCGGCCAGAGGUGAAAUUCUUGGAUUCGCUGAAGACUAACUUAUGCGAAAGCAUU
rnacentral:rRNA from 1 species